AAUUGACCGGAGGAGGCAUCAGGUCAUGCACUGCACUGGCCUGCACCACGAUUAGUAUAAGGCACAUUUCACGAAGCAGAACGCAGUCUUCAGAGAUAUCCACGUGAACGCUGUGAUACGUCUGACCUUAAGUCCGAAAAAGAAAACCCGGACCAGUCUUAAAAGAAAGCACAAACCAAAUCCCCUGUACACAUAUACGGACUCAGAGGAUGAGCAGCCUACAAAAAAACGG